CCCCUUCUCCUCCUGAGAUGACCCGACCUCUCUCGCUGAGCACUGAGGGUUGUAACUUUACUUCUGGUGGCAGUCUCAACUGGACUACCCCACUGCCAACAGAACCAAGUCUUUUUACCACAACCCCAGGACAGAAUACUGAUGACAUACAUGCGGUUCAGUGGCACUCUCCAUCCUACCUUUACUUCUGUGUCAUUGGAGGUUUAACAGCUAUUAUUGUUGGAAUAAUCAUCAGUCUCUUGACAGGGGGAUUGAGGGAGACGGUGGACCCGAGACUUAUGCUAAUGAAAGAAGACACUCUUUCUUAUCACCUGUUCAAACGUGUCAAAGA